CAUCACUCCUUAUCCUUGUUUUGCAUUUUCUUUUCUAUAUGGUUAUUAUCUUUCAAUGUGUGGCUGACCACUUGUAGUUUGUUGAAGAGUAAAAAAAAGAGGGAAAACAACAAGUACUUUUAAUAAGGCAUGGUUUUAUUGAUAUAUGUAUUUUAUAGGAGGCAAAAUUUAGAGCUCUAAGCACCCUCAGAUUUCACCCAAUUUCAAAGAAAUUUAGACAGCUAAUUGAAGAGCAGUUCUUAUUUGGUUUAGUACAUUUUAAACACGUCACAAACAGAAUGAUAUUUCAAAUUUUGGAAAGAUACAGUAUUGAAAUAUCCUUCUCUCUCACCUUGAAGUUGAACAUUUUAUCCCAAAUGGAAUUUUCAUGGGAAAAAAAGUGUGUCUACAUAUGUGUGGGAAGAAGAGAGACAGGCUUAUAGCCAUGUGGUUUUAACCAUCAAAUUCUUAGUGAUGAUAGGAGAUUUGAAAGGAAGACAGAUUGAAAGGAACCUGUUGUUUCCAGUAAGCACUUUGCUAUCUCUGUGACCUUGGUCCUAAAGUAGUGCCAGGCUAAUAGCUCCUAAGGGGAAGACACUGCACCGAGGAAGAGAAUGCUUUCAGUAUCCUUCUCCAUGAUGACGAAUAAGAAAGGGUGAUCACAAUGGAACUUUUCAUAUAUUGGUGCUGACGUUACAACUAUUUGUGUGCCGGUGGCAGCUGCCGCCUCCGUGCCCUCUUCAUUCACAUCCACAAAGGACUUGUGUAGAAUUUUAGAUACUUUGAGACCCCUUCCCCCAGUCAUGCCCGAGAAGUCGGCGUGGUUACUGAAGGCAUCCUGCAUCCCCAUGUCUCCCAGCUGGGUAUGGAGUUUGUAGCUCUCCUCCAGUUUGAACCGAGGUAAGUACAGAUCCACGUUUCUCUUCCUCAUAUUUGCUGAGCUCAUCCACUUGAUUAAUUUCUCAGCAGUGAGUUUAUCUUCAAGCUAUACAAUGGAAAAAAGGAACUGACAUGAUUAUCGAUAGAUAUUGAGCACAACUUAACAUCGGAUUGGAUCAGGAUCCCCAAUUUCCAGUGUUACCCAGUGCAGCAGAUUCAUUGCAGCUUCAGCAGCACCAUUGGCUGGUAUUGCAAAAGCAGCUGCCACUUUCAGAAUGCCUUUUAUACUCCAGGAUUUAUGGAUGCGGACCUGGCCCAGGGCCUUCGAGCUGCUGAUGGCAAGAAGAGUAGCUGGAGGAGA